UUGAGCAUCAAACACUUUAAUUGAAGAGUUUGAUCAUGGCUCAGAUUGAACGCUGGCGGCAGGCCUAACACAUGCAAGUCGGACGGUAACAGGAAACAGCUUGCUGUUUUGCUGACGAGUGGCGGACGGGUGAGUAAUGUCUGGGGAUCUGCCCGAUGGAGGGGGAUAACCACUGGAAACGGU
rnacentral:rRNA from 1 species